rnacentral:lncRNA from 1 species
UGAAUUGUUAGUUUUAAUCAUGCUUUGGGUGAUUGUUCAAUUUUUGAUGCUAAGUUAUGGGGCAUCUGGGAUGGUUGCUCUUGUUAUAAGAGAAAGGGCAUGAUAGGGCUUUGGUUCAAACUAAUUGCUUAGAGGUGGUCAAAACUAUCUAAGAAGGUUACUUUGUGUUGUCGAAUUCGGCUUUGCUUUGGCGAAUUCAAU